rnacentral:rRNA from 1 species
GACGAACGCUGGCGGCGUGCUUAACACAUGCAAGUCGAACGGAAAGGCCCCUUUGGGGGUCCUCGAGUGGCGAACGGGUGAGUAACACGUGAGUAACCUGCCCUUGACUUCGGGAUAACUUCAGUAAACUGGGGCUAAUACCGGAUAGGAAUCCUUGCUGCAUGGUGGGGGUUGGAAAGCUUCGGCGGUUUUGGAUGGACUCGCGGCUUAUCAGCUUGUUGGUGGGGUAGUGGCUUACCAAGGCUUUGACGGGUAGCCGGCCUGAGAGGGCGACCGGCCACAUUGGGACUGAGAUACGGCCCAGACUCCUACGGGAGGCAGCAGUGGGGAAGAUUGCACAAUGGGCGGAAGCCUGAUGCAGCAACGCCGCGGGCGGGAUGACGGCCUUCGGGUUGGAAACCGCUUUCAGCAGGGGCGAAGCUUGUGGUGACGGUACCUGCAGAAGAAGCACCGGCUAACUACGUG